AUUGAACGCUGGCGGCAGGCUUAACACAUGCAAGUCGAACGAUGACUCUCUAGCUUGCUAGAGAAGAUUAGUGGCGGACGGGUGAGUAACAUUUAGGAAUCUGCCUAGUAGUGGGGGAUAGCUCGGGGAAACUCGAAUUAAUACCGCAUACGACCUACGGGUGAAAGGGGGCGCAAGCUCUUGCUAUUAGAUGAGCCUAAAUCAGAUUAGCUAGUUGGUGGGGUAAAGGCCCACCAAGGCGACGAUCUGUAACUGGUCUGAGAGGAUGAUCAGUCACACCGGAACUGAGACACGGUCCGGACUCCUACGGGAGGCAGCAGUGGGGAAUAUUGGACAAUGGGGGCAACCCUGAUCCAGCCAUGCCGCGUGUGUGAAGAAGGCCUUUUGGUUGUAAAGCACUUUAAGCAGGGAGGAGAGGCUAAUGGUUAAUACCCAUUAGAUUAGACGUUACCUGCAGAAUAAGCACCGGCUAACUCUGUGCCAGCAGCCGCGGUAAUACAGAGGGUGCGAGCGUUAAUCGGAAUUACUGGGCGUAAAGCGAGUGUAGGUGGCUCAUUAAGUCACAUGUGAAAUCCCCGGGCUUAACCUGGGAACUGCAUGUGAUACUGGUGGUGCUAGAAUAUGUGAGAGGGAAGUAGAAUUCCAGGUGUAGCGGUGAAAUGCGUAGAGAUCUGGAGGAAUACCGAUGGCGAAGGCAGCUUCCUGGCAUAAUAUUGACACUGAGAUUCGAAAGCGUGGGCAGCAAACAGGAUUAGAUACCCUGGUAGUCCACGCCGUAAACGAUGUCUACUAGCCGUUGGGGUCCUUGAGACUUUAGUGGCGCAGUUAACGCGAUAAGUAGACCGCCUGGGGAGUACGGCCGCAAGGUUAAAACUCAAAUGAAUUGACGGGGGCCCGCACAAGCGGUGGAGCAUGUGGUUUAAUUCGAUGCAACGCGAAGAACCUUACCUGGUCUUGACAUAGUGAGAAUCCUGCAGAGAUGCGGGAGUGCCUUCGGGAAUUCACAUACAGGUGCUGCAUGGCUGUCGUCAGCUCGUGUCGUGAGAUGUUGGGUUAAGUCCCGCAACGAGCGCAACCCUUUUCCUUAUUUGCCAGCGGGUUAAGCCGGGAACUUUAAGGAUACUGCCAGUGACAAACUGGAGGAAGGCGGGGACGACGUCAAGUCAUCAUGGCCCUUACGACCAGGGCUACACACGUGCUACAAUGGUAGGUACAGAGGGUUGCUACACAGCGAUGUGAUGCUAAUCUCAAAAAGCCUAUCGUAGUCCGGAUUGGAGUCUGCAACUCGACUCCAUGAAGUCGGAAUCGCUAGUAAUCGCAGAUCAGAAUGCUGCGGUGAAUACGUUCCCGGGCCU
rnacentral:rRNA from 1 species